ensembl:snRNA U6 U6 spliceosomal RNA
GUGCUCUCUUCGGCAGCACAUAUACUAAAAUCGGAACGAUACGGAGAAGAUUAGCAUGGCCCCCACCCAAGGAUGACAUGCAAAUUCGUGAAGCGUUCCAUGUUUUU